CAUAGCGACUAUCGUGGCAUAUCAAUAAGCGGAGGAAAAGAAACUAACAAGGAUUCCCUUAGUAACGGCGAGUGAAGCGGGAAGAGCUCAAAUUUGAAAUCUUCAAGGUUCUACCUUUACGAAUUGUAGUUUAUAGAAGUGUUUUCUGUUAGUGGAGUUCGGUAAAAGUUCUUUGGAAUAGGACAUCAUAGAGGGUGAGAAUCCCGUAUUUGACCAGUUACUUUCCAGCUGUGUGAUACACUUUCAAAGAGUCGGAUUGUUUGGGAAUGCAGUCCAAAAUGGGUGGUAAAUUUCAUCUAAAGCUAAAUAUUGGCGAGAGACCGAUAGCGAACAAGUACCGUGAGGGAAAGAUGAAAAGAACUUUGAAAAGAGAGUUAAACAGUACGUGAAAUUGUCAAAGGGAAGCGUUUGACACCAGUGUUGUUUUUCCGAAAGUCAAUUACGAAUGUUUUGUUUUUGAGGAGUUAUGACUUCAUCGGCUUGCUCCUUUCUUUACGAAACUUUCUUAAUGCACUUUUCGGUUAACAAGUCAACAUCAAUUUCUUUUGUUGUAAAAGGGUAAUAGGAAGGUGGCUUUCACUUCGGCUGCAAGUGUUUAUAGCCUUUGAUCUCUACAAUCGGAGAGAUUGAGGUCUGCAGCGUAGAUCCUUCGGGGUUAGAUACAGUAGAUGCUAAGCUAUAGCCUUUUAUAGACAACUUGUUGACUAUGCUCAGUCAUGUAGCUUACUCGCUUAUGCUAUUUUACCUACGCUUAGGAUGUUGACGCGCGUGUGUGCGUG
rnacentral:rRNA from 1 species